rnacentral:rRNA from 1 species
AGCGAACGCUGGCGGCAGGCCUAACACAUGCAAGUCGAGCGGCCGUAGCAAUACGGCAGCGGCAGACGGGAGAGUAACACGUGGGAACGCGCCCUUCGGUUCGGAAUAACUCAGGGAAACUUGAGCUAAUACCGGAUACGCCCUUACGGGGAAAGAUUAAUUGCCGAAGGAACGGCCCGCGUCCGAUUAGCUUGUUGGUGAGGUAACGGCUCACCAAGGCGACGAUCGGUAGCUGGUCUGAGAGGAUGACCAGCCUCACUGGGACUGAGACACGGCCCAGACUCCUACGGGAGGCAGCAGUGGGGAAUAGUGGACAAUGGGCGCAAGCCUGAUCCAGCCAUGCCGCGUGGGUGAUGAAGGCCCUAGGGUUGUAAAGCCCUUUCAGCGGGGAAGAUAAUGACGGUACCCGCAGAAGAAGCCCCGGCUAACUUCGUGCCAGCCGCCGCCGUAACAC